AUUCCAGCUCCAAUAGCGUAUAUUAAAGUUGUUGCAGUUAAAAAGCUCGUAGUUGGAUUUCUGGGUUAGGAACUUGGUCGGCUGCAGCUAUGCAGUUAGUACCAGGUUUCCUUGCCCAUCCUUCUAGAAAUUGGCUCUGUGCUUCAUUGCAUUCGGGUCAGGAUCUAGAUCUUUUACUUUGAAAAAAUUAGAGUGUUUAAAGCAGGCUUUGCUGUGAAUACAUUAGCAUGGAAUAAUAACUUAGGACUUUGGUUCUAUUUUGUUGGUUUCUAGGGCCGAAGUAAUGAUUGAUAGGGAUAGUUGGGGGUGCUAGUAUUCAGCGGCCAGAGGUGAAAUUCACGGAUUCGCUGAAGACUAACUUAUGCGAAAGCAUUCACCAAGGAUGUCUUCAUUG
rnacentral:rRNA from 1 species